UCAACGCCUACGACUGUACCGUCUUCACCGCAAAACUCCGCUGGACUCGGAGCGAGUAGCAGAGUGAGAACCAUCUCUACCUUGGUUCAACCCCCCGCGAGCUGCUCCGCGGUGCAGACUGGAAAGCGGUCGGCUCUUGUCAGCUGGCAGCCUGUGAACAAGGUUCUGUUGUAUGAAGUGAAAAAUCACGAACUUGGUAACAAAUAUCACAUCUGUGACAAACGUGUCGGCAACCCAACUGGACCUACAGAACAUACUGCCAUGUUCAUCCUAUCGGAUAGCAAUAUCAUCCUACAAUGACUUCUUGGAUCCAGGAGAACCUAGAAAUUAUGUUUACACCACAAACAAACUGAGCCCAGUGACGUCCAUAUCGGUGGACUACAGCUGUUCCACCAGCUCGGCCUCGGUCUCGUGGGAUGGAGUGUUCGCGGCAGACUCAUACAAGGCGGAGGCAGUGGAGAGCAAACGGGACGGUACUGUCCUGCACAACGCAGGGCACCAGCUGCCAGAUCGCGGGGCUGGGAUGUGGACAGAGAUAUGUGGUGCACGUGAUUGCCUUGGCGGACAGCUGCGAGAGCGCGCCAAACGCCACCACUACCUUUAGUACAGGUGAGAUAGGGCUGAACAAUCUCGCUCUGUACCGAGAGUGUGCCAGCAACGUGAUCAUCUUCUCCUGGGCGCCCACCAACCACACCUCCUACUACAGGGCCAAGGCUGUGGACUCCCGGGGCGAGACGAUGGACUGCAUGACCAAAGAGGACCUCCUGCUUCUUCACAGACACGGUCUGCGGACGUCACUACACCUUCUCAGUGUACUCUGUCAGCGGGGACUGCAACGGCCAG